AUAUUGCCACAUUAGACAUACAAUUUUUUUUUUAACAUUUUACACCCAAAUGAAUAUUCACACAAAACCUAAUUACAAAAUCUAAAAUUCAAAUAAGACAAAUCAACACGCCCCUUCGUCUAUCCCCAUGCUACCUUCACCACCGUCAACCAUCGCUUUCUGAAACCACUGUCAGUCGUCGCUUUCUAAAACCACAAACGCUCUAGUUCCAAUGGUUUCAAAGGGGAAAACUUUUGUUGUAAUUAAUAGUUGCAGGCGCUGUUGUGAUCUUUGAGGUGCAAAGAAAUUCUAGAUCAGAGGCAAGAAAGGAAGAAAUGCGUGUAAACAAGAGGUGGAGGUAACAUAUGUUAAUUUUUCUUUCUAUAUUUUAUGGUGUUCUUUCGUCUCUUGUGGAAAUCUUGACUUGUUAUAUGUGUCCUUCAGUGUGAGGCUAGUGACAGCAAUUCCUUGCUAAAUUUCUUAAACGCUGUGUCACCAAAUUCUUUAACAAAAAUUAUACCCCAUGAUCUAGCAAACUUAGAAUGGGGAAAAAGAAUUUAAUUAUUA